UACAGAGGGUGCAAGCGUUAAUCGGAUUUACUGGGCGUAAAGCGUGCGCAGGUGGUUUCGUAAGUCGGAUGUGAAAGCCCCGGGCUCAACCUGGGAACUGCGUUCGAUACUGCGAGACUAGAGUUUGGUAGAGGGUGGCGGAAUUCCCGGUGUAGCGGUGAAAUGCGUAGAUAUCGGGAGGAACAUCAAUGGCGAAGGCAGCCACCUGGGCCUGAACUGACACUGAGGCACGAAAGCGUGGGUAGCAAACAGG
rnacentral:rRNA from 1 species